AGGUAAUGCUUGGGAAUCUAGCUUAUGGAGGGGGAUAACUACGGGAAACUGUAGCUAAUACCGCGUAGUAUCGAGAGAUGAAAGUGUGGGGACCUUCGGGCCACAUGCCAUAGGAUGAGCCCAAGUGGGAUUAGGUAGUUGGUGAGGUAAAGGCUCACCAAGCCGACGAUCUCUAGCUGGUCUGAGAGGAUGACCAGCCACACUGGGACUGAGACACGGCCCAG
rnacentral:rRNA from 1 species